rnacentral:misc_RNA from 1 species
UUGAAAUGCAACUCCUUGGCCAUGGCGCAAAUCUGGGGGGAACGUGAUCUACGUAGAACAACAUUCUUUCUCCGACCAAAUGAGCUUCCAGAAAUGGAGGCAAAAGAUGACAACCUGUUUGAAGAAGAUGCAAGUUUCUUAUCCAUCACACAGCCAUUAGCUGCAGCCAAGGAUCCAACUGAGGACAUCGCAGUAAAGGUGGACGCCAUUCACUAUUUGAUAUCGGUAAAUGAGACGGUAGAGAGGUGGCGGGGGAAGGAGAUUAGGGUUUUAGAAUGGAGGGUUGUAUAAGAGGGGCAGGUUUAUCCUUGGUGUGGAAGAGCA